CCCUUAGAUGUUCUGGGCUGCACGCGUGCUACACUGAUAUUGCCAAUAUGUCAUUCUUAUCCGAAAUGGAUUGGGUAAUCAAGUAAUGAAAUUUCAUGCUUGGAAUCGGUAAUUGCAAUUUUAUCGUGAACGAGGAAUUCCUAGUAAGCACUAGUCAUCAGCUAAUGUUGAUUAUGUCCCUGCCCUUUGUACACACCGCCCGUCGCUACUACUGAUUGGGUGUCCAAGUGAGAUGCUUAGACCCUUGUUGCAUGGUUCAUUAUUGUGCUCCGAAAGGAAAAAGUUUCAAGCUUGAGUGUCUAGAGGAAGUAAAGUCGUAACA
rnacentral:rRNA from 1 species